UAUAGUAUAGUGUAAAACGCACGUAGAUCUUUGACAUCUAAAGAAGGCCACUCCUUACUAUAA
rnacentral:tRNA from 1 species